UGGGGAAUUGUUCGCAAUGGGCGCAAGCCUGACGACGCAACGCCGCGUGGAGGACGAAGAUCUUCGGGUCGUAAACUCCUGUCGAGCGGGACGAAACCCUCGAGUAUCAACACCACUCGAGGCUGACGGUACCGCGAGAGGAAGCCCCGGCUAACUCCGUGCCAGCAGCCGCGGUAAUACGGGGGGGGCAAGCGUUGUUCGGAAUUACUGGGCGUAAAGGGCUCGUAGGUGGCCCCAUAAGUCAGACGUGAAAUCCCUCGGCUCAACCGAGGAACUGCGUCUGAGACUGUGGGGCUUGAAUCCGGGAGAGGGAUGCGGAAUUCCAGGUGUAGCGGUGAAAUGCGUAGAUAUCUGGAGGAACACCGGUGGCGAAGGCGGCAUCCUGGACCGGUAUUGACACUGAUGAGCGAAAGCCAGGGGAGCAAACGG
rnacentral:rRNA from 1 species